rnacentral:rRNA from 1 species
AACGAACGCUGGCGGCAUGCCUAACACAUGCAAGUCGGACGAGACCUUCGGGUCUAGUGGCGCACGGGUGCGUAACGCGUGGGAACCUGCCCUUAGGUUCGGAAUAACUCCCCGAAAGGGGUGCUAAUACCGGAUAAUGUCUUCGGACCAAAGAUUUAUCGCCUUUGGAUGGGCCCGCGUUGGAUUAGCUAGUUGGUAGGGUAAAAGCCUACCAAGGCGACGAUCCAUAGCUGGUCUGAGAGGAUGAUCAGCCACACUGGGACUGAGACACAGCCCAGACUCCUACGGGAGGCAGCAGUGGGGAAUAUUGGACAAUGGGCGAAAGCCUGAUCCAGCAAUGCCGCGUGAGUGAUGAAGGCCUUAGGGUUGUAAAGCUCUUUUACCCGGGAUGAUAAUGACAGUACCGGGAGAAUAAGCUCCGGCUAACUCCGUG